rnacentral:rRNA from 1 species
CCUACGGGGCGCAGCAGUGGGGAAUAUUGCACAAUGGGCGCAAGCCUGAUGCAGCCAUGCCGCGUGUGUGAAGAAGGCCUUCGGGUUGUAAAGCACUUUCAGCGGGGAGGAAGGCGUUAAGGUUAAUAACCUUGUCGAUUGACGUUACCCGCAGAAGAAGCACCGGCUAACUCCGUGCCAGCAGCCGCGGUAAUACGGAGGGUGCAAGCGUUAAUCGGAAUUACUGGGCGUAAAGCGCACGCAGGCGGUCUGUCAAGUCGGAUGUGAAAUCCCCGGGCUCAACCUGGGAACUGCAUUCGAAACUGGCAGGCUAGAGUCUUGUAGAGGGGGGUAGAAUUCCAGGUGUAGCGGUGAAAUGCGUAGAGAUCUGGAGGAAUACCGGUGGCGAAGGCGACCCCCUGGACAAAGACUGACGCUCAGGUGCGAAAGCGUGGGGAGCAAACAGGAUUAGAUACCCGUGUAGUC